GUACAAUGGGUCGCCACCACGCGAGUGGGCGCAAAUCCAUAAAACCAUUCUCAGUUCGGAUCGGAGUCUGCAACUCGACUCCGUGAAGUUGGAAUCGCUAGUAAUCGCGUAUCAGCAAUGACGCGGUGAAUACGUUCCCGGGCCUUGUACACACCGCCCGUCAAGCGAUGGAAGUCAGAAGUACCUGAUGUCGGCGUGCUAACCUUCGGGAGGCAGCUGCCUAGGGUAAGUCUGGUAACUGGCGCUAAGUCGUAACAAGGUAGCCGUACCGGAAGGUGCGGCUGGAUCACCUCCUUU
rnacentral:rRNA from 1 species